CCCUUAGAUGUUCUGGGCAGCACGCACGCUACAAUGGUCUUCGCAAACGGAUGCAUUCUCGAAGGAGAAUGCCAAUCUUGGAAUCUAUGCCUUGGUCGGGACAGUUGCUUGCAAUUUUUCGACUCGAACCAGGAAUUCCUUGUAAUCGUGAUUCAUCACAUCACGAUGAAUACGUCCCUGCCCUUUGUACACACCGCCCGUCGCUCCUACCGAUCGAAGAGUUAGGCGAAUUGUUUUGAUCGAUAAGAUUUGACUAUGGUCAACUCUCGUUGUGAAAUUCUGUGAAUCUGACUGUUUAGAGGAAGGAAAAGUCGUAACA
rnacentral:rRNA from 1 species